GACGAACGCUGGCGGCGUGCCUAAUACAUGCAAGUCGAACGCAGUGGGGACGUGUGAGUAACACGUGGGUAACCUCCCCAUCAGAGGGGAUAACACUUGGAAACCGGUGCUACACCGAUAGUGAUGGAUGGACCCGGGGUGCAGUAGCUAGUUGGUGAGGUAACGGCUCACCAAGGCCACGAUGCAUAGCCGACGUGAUGGGGUGAUCGGCCACACUGGGACUGAGACACGGCCCAGACUCCUACGUGAGGCAGCAUUAGGUAAUCUUCGGCAAUGGAGGAAAGCCUGAUCGAGCCACGCCGCGGUAGUGAAGAAGGUUUUCGGAUCGUAAAACUCUGUUGUUAGAGAAGCGGUAUCUAACCAGAAAGCCACGGCUAACUACGUGCCAGCAGCCGCGGUAAUAC
rnacentral:rRNA from 1 species